GCUACGGCCACACCGGCCUGAGUACGCCUGAUCUCGUCCGAUCUCGGAAAGCUAAGCAGGGUCGGGCCUGGUAGUACUUGAUGGGAGACCGCCUGGGAAUACCAGGUGCUGUAAGCU
rnacentral:rRNA from 1 species